CCGGUUGCCCAGCGAGGUUGUGGAUGCCCCCUCCCUGGAAGCAUUCAAGGCCAGGCUGGAUGGCACUUUGAGCAACCUGGUCUAGAGGGAGGUGUCCCUGCCUAUAGCAGGGGGUUGGAACUAGUGAUCUUAAAGGUCCCUUCCAAGACAAACCAUUCUAUGACUCUAUGAUACGUGGUUACCCUUCCUAUGCAGUCAUAAAAUAUAUAGAGAGAAGGUUGCUGUGAUCCCAGAAUGGCAGGCCAAACACCUACAAGUAGAUUUCUUUAUUCAUACAUAUAUUGCAGUGACAAAGAAUCCUGGGUGCUCUUAAGGGGAAAUACAGUACAAAGUAUACUGCAACACAAGCCAACCAGCACUGUGUUCCCAUGCUGAUCCAAGGGGACCCACUCAGACCCCGUGCUCUCUGCAGGCAGUGCAUUACCAGAAGGAAGCAAAAAACCUUUCUGCUGCCGAAGGCAAUAGCUAAACUCUUAUCAGAAAAAGAAAAGAAAAGAAAAGAAAAGAAAAGAAAAGAAAAGAAAAGAAAAGAAAAGAAAAGAAAAGAAAAGAAAAGAAAAGAAAAGAAAAGAAAAGAAAAGAAAAGAAAAGAAAAGAAAAGAAAAGAAAAGAAAAGAAAAGAAAAAAAGACAUUUAGGGCACCAAAUUCUGGUGUUUCACCUGGAACAAGGAUUCUCAGACAAUCUAAAACAUGGACUUGAGCUAUAAAGGAGUCUGCCCUAUCAGCACUCAUCCUCUGUACUCAGAGGAUCAUCCUCUCCCCUUCCCCAGUGCGGUGUGGCUCUUCUCCAGUGGUGGCUAAACAUCUUUACUUCAGUCACAUUAGUUGCCUAUAUAAAAAUCGAUAUAACAGUACAAGGACAUUACUGGGAGCAUUGCUUUCAAAGCAGGCACUCAUUCCCUCCUUUUACCUGGAACAACCACUGCUGGAGCAAUACAACUUCUUUGUCUCUGGAUGGAGUAUGUUCAGUCUGUGGUGAGGAUGAUCACAUCAGCUUGGUCCCAGGCAGGAGCUGUGAGGGGACAGAGCACUCCGUGCCCUCACUCCCAUGAGGAUGACUGGCAUCUUCUCUGCUUGGCUCCAGCAGCCCUGAGAAACCUGCAUAUGCUCCUGAAAGGUGGGAUGUAUGGAGAUGCUAGCUGAUCCAAUAAAAAUGACUUUACUGAGCAUGCAAAAAGUGUGGUUUUAUUUCACAAGUUUCUGACUCGGACAGCACAGACAUCUCACAACCGAAGAGAUCUUUUUGGCUCACCUCCUGCUUUUUGAGUCACAGCUACACAACCUCAGGAGAUCAGACCUUUCUGAAAAGCACACUGUUAGCUUUUUGUUGUUGUUGUUUUGUUUUUUUUUUUUUUGUAGUAUGAACGAAACAACACAUUUUCUCAAUCCC
ensembl:lncRNA